UAUACUGCAAGUCGAGCGGACAGAUGGGAGCUUGCUCCCUGAUGUUAGCGGCGGACGGGUGAGUAACACGUGGGUAACCUGCCUGUAAGACUGGGAUAACUCCGGGAAACCGGGGCUAAUACCGGAUGCUUGUUUGAACCGCAUGGUUCAAACAUAAAAGGUGGCUUCGGCUACCACUUACAGAUGGACCCGCGGCGCAUUAGCUAGUUGGUGAGGUAAUGGCUCACCAAGGCGACGAUGCGUAGCCGACCUGAGAGGGUGAUCGGCCACACUGGGACUGAGACACGGCCCAGACUCCUACGGGAGGCAGCAGUAGGGAAUCUUCCGCAAUGGACGAAAGUCUGACGGAGCAACGCCGCGUGAGUGAUGAAGGUUUUCGGAUCGUAAAGCUCUGUUGUUAGGGAAGAACAAGUACCGUUCGAAUAGGGCGGUACCUUGACGGUACCUAACCAGAAAGCCACGGCUAACUACGUGCCAGCAGCCGCGGUAAUACGUAGGUGGCAAGCGUUGUCCGGAAUUAUUGGGCGUAAAGGGCUCGCAGGCGG
rnacentral:rRNA from 1 species